GAGAUUUUUAAACAGAAAAAGGGCAUCUGGAGAAGAAAGAUCUAAGCAGAUUUCUGAAAUGUAAAGAAAGAUAAUGACAGAACACAACAGAUUCACUUUAAAAUUUCCCAAUCCAAACUAUAUUUUUUGCUAUUGUAAAAUUGUUCCCAGUGGUCUUUUAGUUUUGAUCUUGCAGUUUUGAGACAAAAUCAAAAACCCUGUGCUGUAUUUUUAAGAAUAAUUUUUUGCAGAGCAGAAAUUAGAAAUUCACUUCUGAGUGUACUUUGCAUAGAAGUUAACCUCAGCUAAUUUCAAAACCCUUUGUUUACACUUUCUCCUGCUAGCUUACAGCAACUCUCAAGCCCAAGCUAACAUUAGCGUAGAAGGAAAAAACAAAAUAGAGCAAUAUUGGAGCUAUCCAGCUGAACAGUUUUGAGCCAGGUGGUAAAUCGGAUGAGGAAAACUAAUAUGGAUCUAUUUGUCUGGAAGUGGAUGUAUAAGAAGUGGAGCGGAGAACGGAGACUUUGGCAGUUACUGCGUCACAAACCCAAGCUUUUGCAAACCGUGGUUUUUCAUCUGCUCCUGGUCCAACAAGAUUUCAAUGAUGAAACACUCAAAAAAAAAGAAAAAAAAAAAAAA